UACGUAGGGGGCGAGCGUUGUCCGAAAUUACUGGGCGUAAAGCGUUUGUAGGCGGCACUGUAAGUUAUCUCUAAAAGGCGACAGCUCAACUGACGAGUGCGAGGUAAGACUGCAGAGCUUGAGGCAAGGAAAAGAGUGUGGAACUCCGAGUGUAGCGGUGGAAUGCGUAGAGAUUCGGAAGAACACCCAUGGCGAAGGCAGCACUCUGGGCUUGACCUGACGCUGAGGAACGAAAGCCAGGGGAGCAAACGGG
rnacentral:rRNA from 1 species